ACUGCAAGUCGAGCGAGUGAAACUAACUGACCCCUUCGGGGUGACGUUAGUGGAUCUAGCGGCGGACGGGUGAGUAACACGUGGGCAACCUGCCUGUAAGACUGGGAUAACUCGCGGAAACGUGAGCUAAUACCGGAUAACACUUUGAACUUCAUGGUUCGAAGAUGAAAGGCGGCUUCGGCUGUCACUUACAGAUGGGCCCGCGGCGCAUUAGCUAGUUGGUGAGGUAACGGCUCACCAAGGCGACGAUGCGUAGCCGACCUGAGAGGGUGAUCGGCCACACUGGGACUGAGACACGGCCCAGACUCCUACGGGAGGCAGCAGUAGGGAAUCUUCCGCAAUGGACGAAAGUCUGACGGAGCAACGCCGCGUGAGUGAUGAAGGUUUUCGGAUUGUAAAACUCUGUUGUUAGGGAAGAACAAGUCGGGUAGUAACUGACCCGACCUUGACGGUACCUAACCAGAAAGCCCCGGCUAACUACGUGCCAGCAGCCGCGGUAAUACGUAGGGGGCAAGCGUUGUCCGGAAUUAUUGGGCGUAAAGCGCGCGCAGGCGGUCCUUUAAGUCUGAUGUGAAAGCCCACGGCUUAACCGUGGAGGGUCAUUGGAAACUGGAGGACUUGAGUACAGAAGAGGAGAGUGGAAUUCCACGUGUAGCGGUGAAAUGCGUAGAGAUGUGGAGGAACACCAGUGGCGAAGGCGACUCUCUGGUCUGUAACUGACGCUGAGGCGCGAAAGCGUGGGGAGCGAACAGGAUUAGAUACCCUGGUAGUCCACGCCGAAAACGAUGAGUGCUAGGUGUUAGGGGGUCUCCGCCCCUUAGUGCUGAAGUAACGCAUUAAGCACUCCGCCUGGGGAGUACGGNCGCAGAGCUGAAACUCAAAGAUUGACGGGGCCCGCACAGCGGUGGAGCA
rnacentral:rRNA from 1 species